CGAUAUCAGAUUAGGUAGUUGGUGAGGUAAAGGCUCACCAAGCCGACGAUCUGUAGCUGGUCUGAGAGGACGACCAGCCACACUGGAACUGAGACACGGUCCAGACUCCUACGGGAGGCAGCAGUGGGGAAUUUUGGACAAUGGGCGCAAGCCUGAUCCAGCAAUGCCGCGUGCAGGAUGAAGGCCUUCGGGUUGUAAACUGCUUUUGUACGGAACGAAAAGGCUCUGGUUAAUACCUGGGGUUGAUGACGGUACCGUAAGAAUAAGCACCGGCUAACUACGUGCCAGCAGCCGCGGUAAUACGUAGGGUGCGAGCGUUAAUCGGAAUUACUGGGCGUAAAGCGUGCGCAGGCGGUAAUGCAAGACAGAUGUGAAAUCCCCGGGCUUAACCUGGGAACUGCAUUUGUGACUGCAUUGCUGGAGUGCGGCAGAGGGGGAUGGAAUUCCGCGUGUAGCAGUGAAAUGCGUAGAUAUGCGGAGGAACACCGAUGGCGAAGGCAAUCCCCUGGGCCUGCACUGACGCUCAUGCACGAAAGCGUGGGGAGCAAACAGGAUUAGAUACCCUGGUAGUCCACGCCCUAAACGAUGUCAACUGGUUGUUGGGUCUUCACUGACUCAGUAACGAAGCUAACGCGUGAAGUUGACCGCCUGGGGAGUACGGCCGCAAAGUUGAAACUCAAAGGAAUUGACGGGGACCCGCACAAGCGGUGGAUGAUGUGGUUUAAUUCGAUGCAACGCGAAAAACCUUACCCACCUUUGACAUGUAUGGAAUCCUUUAGAGAUAGAGGAGUGCUCGAAAGAGAGCCAUAACACAGGUGCUGCAUGGCUGUCGUCAGCUCGUGUCGUGAGAUGUUGGGUUAAGUCCCGCAACGAGCGCAACCCUUGUCAUUAGUUGCUACACUUAGUUGGGCACUCUAAUGAGACUGCCGGUGAUAAACCGGAGGAAGGUGGGGAUGACGUCAAGUCCUCAUGGCCCUUAUAGGUGGGGCUACACACGUCAUACAAUGGCUGGUACAAAGGGUUGCCAACCCGCGAGGGGGAGCUAAUCCCAUAAAACCAGUCGUAGUCCGGAUCGCAGUCUGCAACUCGACUGCGUGAAGUCGGAAUCGCUAGUAAUCGUGGAUCAGAAUGUCACGGUGAAUACGUUCCCGGGUCUUGUACACACCGCCCGUCACACCAUGGGAGCGGGUUCUGCCAGAAGUAGUUAGCCUAACCGCAAGGAGGGCGAUUACCACGGCAG
rnacentral:rRNA from 1 species